rnacentral:rRNA from 1 species
CUACGGGAUGCAGCAGUGAGGAAUAUUGGUCAAUGGGCGCAAGCCUGAACCAGCCACUCCGCGUGUAGGAUGACUGCCCUAUGGGUUGUAAACUACUUUUAUACAGGAAGAAACCUCCUUACGUGUAGGGAGCUGACUGUACUGUAAGAAUAAGCAUCGGCUAACUCCGUGCCAGCAGCCGCGGUAAUACGGAGGAUGCAAGCGUUAUCCGGAUUUAUUAGGUCUAAAGGGUUCGUAGGCGGAUGAUUAAGUCAGUGGUGAAAUCCUACAGCUUAACUGUAGAACUGCCAUUGAUACUGGUUGUCUUGAGUAUAGUUGAGGUAGGCGGAAUGUGUAGUGUAGCGGUGAAAUGCUUAGAUAUUACACAGAACACCGAUUGCGAAGGCAGCUUACUAAGCUAUUACUGACGCUAAGGAACGAAAGCGUGGGGAGCGAACAGGAUUAGAUACCCCGGUAGUC